GGAAUUUUGGCAUCGGUCUAGUUUGUGCUCAAGAAUAGUUUCGUAAAAAUAUCUAGAAAUAUAUCAGAGAUAUAAAGAGUGAUUUCUCCAUGACCGUUUUUAGAUAUUUUAAUGAAACUGUUCUGAGCAUAGAUUGGACUGAUUUCAAAAUCCUUGGAAAUGUGCAGCACCAAGAUGGAUUGGAUCUGGCUGGGAUCCUUGGGGUUGAGAAGUUUAAAGACCACCAUUAUAUUAUUAAUAAUGUUCUUCCAAACACCAUUCCAAACCAUGGUUGUGGUUGCUACAUAGGAGCGGACUGUGUUAUGUUUUUACUGCCAUUUGUAUCUAAUGCAUCUUAGUGUUUCUGGUGGUGACUCUAUAUGUUUUGUAUUUUAUUGUAUGAUGUUUUUAUUCAUAAUUUUUUCUUACUGCUUUAUGUUACUUUACUAAAAGUCUAUUCUCAAGAAAUCAGCACUAUUUGGC
rnacentral:lncRNA from 1 species